rnacentral:rRNA from 1 species
GAGUAAUGCCUAGGAAUCUGCCUGGUAGUGGGGGACGAACGUUUCGAAAGGAACGCUAAUACCGCAUACGUCCUACGGAGAAAGCAGGGACCUUCGGGCCUUGCGCUAUCAGAUGAGCCUAGGUCGGAUUAGCUAGUUGGUGAGGUAAUGGCUCACCAAGGCGACGAUCCGUAACUGGUCUGAGAGGAUGAUCAGUCACACUGGAACUGAGACACGGCCCAGACUCCUACGGGAGGCAGCAGCC